rnacentral:rRNA from 1 species
CCUACGGGAGGCAGCAGUAAGGAAUAUUGGACAAUGGGCGCAAGCCUGAUUCAGCCAUGCCGCGUGUGUGAAGAAGGCCUUAUGGUUGUAAAGCCCUUUUGUUGGGAAAGAAAUCCAGCCGGCUAAUACCUGGUUGGGAUGACGGUACCCAAAGAAUAAGCACCGGCUAACUUCGUGCCAGCAGCCGCGGUAAU